rnacentral:rRNA from 1 species
GCUGUGAGGCAUGCUGGAGGUAUCAGAAGUGCGAAUGCUGACAUAAGUAACGAUAAAGCGGGUGAAAAGCCCGCUCGCCGGAAGACCAAGGGUUCCUGUCCAACGUUAAUCGGGGCAGGGUGAGUCGACCCCUAAGGCGAGGCCGAAAGGCGUAGUCGAUGGGAAACAGGUUAAUAUUCCUGUACUUGGUGUUACUGCGAAGGGGGGACGGAGAAGGCUAUGUUAGCCGGGCGACGGUUGUCCCGGUUUAAGCAUGUAGGCUGGUUGUCCAGGCAAAUCCGGAUAAUCAAGGCUGAGGUGUGAUGACGAGGCACUACGGUGCUGAAGUAACAAAUGCCCUGCUUCCAGGAAAAGCCUCUAAGCAUCAGGUAACAUCAAAUCGUACCCCAAACCGACACAGGUGGUCAGGUAGAGAAUACCAAGGCGCUUGAGAGAACUCGGGUGAAGGAACUAGGCAAAAUGGUGCCGUAACUUCGGGAGAAGGCACGCUGGUGUGUAGGUGAAGUCCCUGCGGAUGGAGCUGAGACCAGUCGAAGAUACCAGCUGGCUGCAACUGUUUAUUAAAAACACAGCACUGUGCAAACACGAAAGUGGACGUAUACGGUGUGACGCCUGCCCGGUGCCGGAAGGUUAAUUGAUGGGGUUAUCCGUAAGGAGAAGCUCUUGAUCGAAGCCCCGGUAAACGGCGGCCGUAACUAUAACGGUCCUAAGGUAGCGAAAUUCCUUGUCGGGUAAGUUCCGACCUGCACGAAUGGCGUAAUGAUGGCCAGGCUGUCUCCACCCGAGACUCAGUGAAAUUGAACUCGCUGUGAAGAUGCAGUGUACCCGCGGCAAGACGGAAAGACCCCGUGAACCUUUACUAUAGCUUGACACUGAACAUUGAGCCUUGAUGUGUAGGAUAGGUGGGAGGCUUUGAAGCGUGGACGCCAGUCUGCGUGGAGCCAACCUUGAAAUACCACCCUUUAAUGUUUGAUGUUCUAACGUUGGCCCCUUACCGGGGUUGCGGACAGUGUCUGGUGGGUAGUUUGACUGGGGCGGUCUCCUCCCAAAGCGUAACGGAGGAGCACGAAGGUUAGCUAAUCCUGGUCGGACAUCAGGAGGUUAGUGCAAUGGCAUAAGCUAGCUUGACUGCGAGCGUGACGGCGCGAGCAGGUGCGAAAGCAGGUCAUAGUGAUCCGGUGGUUCUGAAUGGAAGGGCCAUCGCUCAACGGAUAAAAGGUACUCCGGGGAUAACAGGCUGAUACCGCCCAAGAGUUCAUAUCGACGGCGGUGUUUGGCACCUCGAUGUCGGCUCAUCACAUCCUGGGGCUGAAGUAGGUCCCAAGGGUAUGGCUGUUCGCCAUUUAAAGUGGUACGCGAGCUGGGUUUAGAACGUCGUGAGACAGUUCGGUCCCUAUCUGCCGUGGGCGCUGGAGAAUUGAGGGGGGCUGCUCCUAGUACGAGAGGACCGGAGUGGACGCAUCACUGGUGUUCGGGUUGUCAUGCCAAUGGCACUGCCCGGUAGCUAAAUGCGGAAGAGAUAAGUGCUGAAAGCAUCUAAGCACGAAACUUGCCCCGAGAUGAGUUCUCCCUGAGACUU